AGUGGCGGACUGGUGAGUAACACGUAAGCAACCUGCCUAUCAGAGGGGAACAACAGUUAGAAAUGAUUGCUAAUACCGCAUAUGCCUAAGUACCACAUGGUACAAUAGGGAAAGGAGCAAUCCGCUGAUAGAUGGGCUUGCGUCUGAUUAGAUAGUUGGUGGGGUAAUGGCCUACCAAGUCGACGAUCAGUAGCCGGACUGAGAGGUUGAACGGCCACAUUGGGACUGAGAUACGGCCCAGACUCCUACGGGAGGCAGCAGUCGGGAAUAUUGCGCAAUGGAGGAAACUCUGACGCAGUGACGCCGCGUGCAGGAAGAAGGUUUUCGGAUUGUAAACUGCUUUAGACAGGGAAGAUAAUGACAGUACCUGUAAAAUAAGCUCCGGCUAACUACGUGCCAGCAGCCGCGGUAAUACGUAGGGAGCAAGCGUUAUCCGGAUUUAUUGGGUGUAAAGGGUGCGUAGACGGGAAGGCAAGUUGGUUGUGAAAUCCCUCGGCUUAACUGAGGAACUGCAACCAAAACUAUCUUUCUUGAGUGCUGGAGAGGAAAGUGGAAUUCCUAGUGUAGCGGUGAAAUGCGUAGAUAUUAGGAGGAACACCAGUGGCGAAGGCGACUUUCUGGACAGUAACUGACGUUGAGGCACGAAAGUGUGGGGAGCAAACAGGAUUAGAUACCCUGGUA
rnacentral:rRNA from 1 species